UAGUGACGCUCUGGAAAGUGCCCCGUCCAUUUCGGAUGUGGCCGCCGAAGGUGUAAGCCCGGAUACCCUGCUGCAGGGUGGCCGGGGCAAAGCUCUCAGGCUUCCGUGACAGAGGGGGCACC
rnacentral:ncRNA from 2 species